AACAACGGAUCUCUUGGUUCUGGCAUCGAUGAAGAACGCAGCGAAAUGCGAUAAGUAAUGUGAAUUGCAGAAUUCAGUGAAUCAUCGAAUCUUUGAACGCACAUUGCGCCCGCCAGUAUUCUGGCGGGCAUGCCUGUCCGAGCGUCAUUUCAACCCUCGAACCCCUCCGGGGGUCCGGCGUUGGGGAUCGGCCCUUUACGGGGCCGGCCCCGAAAUACAGUGGCGGUCUCGCCGCAGCCUCUCCUGCGCAGUAGUUUGCACACUCGCACCGGGAGCGCGGCGCGUCCACGUCCGUAAAACACCCAACUUCUGAAAGGUUGACCUCGGAUCAGGUAGGAAUACCCGCUGAACUUAA
rnacentral:sRNA from 1 species